rnacentral:tRNA from 1 species
GCGGAGGGGGCCCGGCCACCCACCCGAGGCUCAUAACCUCGACAACGCAGGUUCGAAUCCUGCCUCCGCA